UGGGAAGUAACUACUCUGUUGGAGGGAGUCUUCAUAAUGACCUUAGGGAGGGAGGUGGUUGCAGGAUGGUGGGGGCAGCUUGGUUUGUUUUAACUGUAUUAAUGCAUUCAGUGCUCCAGCAAGACUGUGCUACUGAAGUUGGAAAGUAAGGCCCUGUGGGUUUCCACCAAGGACACAAAAAAAUAAUCUGAUGCCAGAUGAUAUCAGUAAUCCACUCCCCUAUAAUCAGUGGUAUUCAAGCAGCAGAGGCUUCCAAAAAAAAGAUGAGUGAAGUUGAAUCAGAAACAAUCAUUUCCUUGAGAGGUACAUCCUCCAAAAUAAUCUCACAAUGCAAGGGGAGGGGGGGGGGGGGAGCGGGGAGAGGACAAAAUGAGUGAUAAUUAACAGAGCUUGCUGACAUGCUGUUCUUUAAAACUUAAAGAUGUGCAUCAGUUGGAGACAGGAUAUCGAAUAUCAGUAGGCAAAGCAGCAGGAAACUUUUUCCACUGGAUGAAAGGGAUAAAAAGAAGAAAAACAAGUCUUGGCCUCUCAUUGCACCAGCAGCUGACUAAGCUCCCGACAUGCUCAAACCACAGCCAAUUGUAAUGAAUACCAGGGAAAACAGUAUCUUCUAAACAAAAA
rnacentral:lncRNA from 1 species